rnacentral:rRNA from 1 species
GUUGCAGUUAAAAAGCUCGUAGUCGAAUUUUUAAGGGAAUCAAUUUUAUGUGGUCUUAAUGAACUGCAAAGGAAGAUGAUUUAUCUUAUUUUAUGCUUUUGCACCAUUGGAAUUCGUUUUCUGAUAGUGGAGUAAGUUUGUGUUUACCUUGAGAAAAUUAGAGUGUUCAAAGCAGUCUUACGGCUUUAUAUUAAAGCAUGGAAUGAUAAAUAAUGACAUCGGUAAAUUUUUGUUGGUUUGAGAGACCGAUGUAAUGAUUUAUAGAGUUAGUCGGAGGUAUUAGUAUUUUAUCGUUAGAAGUGAAAUUCUGGGAUCGGCAAAAGACUAACAACUGCGAAAGCAUUUACCUAGAAUGUGCUCCUUGAUCAAGAACGUAAGUUGGGGGAUCGAAGACGAUCAGAUACCGUCGUAGUCUCAACUUUAAACUAUAU